UUCUUCGAUUAUCUUCUUCUUCAUCUCGAUUUCUCUACUUGUCAGAUAUGGAUUGAGAAGGAGAAGACGUUGGCGAUGAUGAAACCAGGUGGUGUUUCUGGCAGCUACACACAAACGGUAAAGAAGAUGAUUCGGGACUCCAAUUUCAGUAUUCUCCGGGGGACGACUGUUCAAUUAGAUGAAGAAAUUGCAGCUCACUUUUAUGCUGAACAUUCUAAACGAAGAUUCUUCAACAACCUUAUCAAAUACAUGACAAGGAUCCUUUUGUUAUUGGAGAGAAAGUCUCAGCCGUUAAUUUGAGUUUGGCGCCAAAGUUUUACCACCUUGAGGUUGCUCUUGAACAUUUUAAGAGCUGGAGUGUUCCAGAGAAUUUGUCUCAUGUCAGAAACUACAUGAAGGGCCUUGUGUCAUCUUUUUGACCCUAUGAAAUUCAGGAGCAAAUAUGACUUUUCCGAGAAGUAUAAGAACCUCAUAUCUCUUACUGAACUUAAGAUAUAUCUCUUUUGUUGCUUGUAUGGGUUCAUUUUUCCAUCUGAUUCUUAUUCCUUCAAAUCUAUCUGAUCUCCUCUUAGUUUAUGUUGGUCGAUAAUGUUCUUGGAUAUGGACUUGUACACAUGGGUAUACAUGUUUUUGGUACAUAUGUACACAUGUUAUUUUCUAUUGUGUGCAUGUUAAUUCAUUUUUUUAGGGACUCGUAAGUUCAAAAUGGUAGAGUGCCCAAGCUUAUCACAAGGUUGCAGGUUGAUGGUUCAAAUUCAUUUGAGUUUCCAUGUUAUGUUUAUUUAAUAUGGAUAGUGUUAUUGGUGCUUAGAUGGACGAUUCAAGCUGUAUGUGGUGUACAAAUUGAUGUACCGUGUCUUGUCUUUGUGUUUUCUGGAUUUUUGUAAAUGUGUAUGUUUGUACACCAAUGUAAACUAAGAUUUUCUGAAAAAUGAGAA